rnacentral:lncRNA from 1 species
UCAAAGAUAAGCUAUCAUACAUCCAAUAUGACAAGUUAUACAAAUAUCCUACACAAUACUGACUAUGUUAACUACUACAUGUGGCACUGCGUGAACCACUACUCAUAUUUGCCUCAACACAUUGUACUUAGAAUCAUUAAAUGAGUUGAUAUCAUGAGUAUAAAAUUAUUAAUUAUUAAUUAAAUGAUUAAACUAAAUAAAUUAUAUUAUCAACAUAAAAGCUCACUGGCUUACGAUUGACCAGAACCCAGCCUCAACAAGCCACAAUGCUUCAACAACCCAGAGAAAAACUUUGACAAUCACCAUGGAGCUAGAUGGUAACCGAUGCCGAAGGAAGAAUUUACAACCACAAACAGCUUCAGCCACCAGUUGAACAGACUGGUGCAACGCAAACCCGAGCACCGACAAGCUCUAACCAGCAGAGGAUCAUGGUGACAGCGGAACACAAGAAGUAAAGAUCCGGAAUAUCGAAGAGAAGUCAAAAAGACCUAGUUCUAGUCUCUAAACUUGACAAUUAUUCUCAUAUAAAAACUUAAAUUUUUGGAUUUUUAAGACAAUAUCAAAAACUAAUUUAAAUAAAAAAA